AACGAACGCUGGCGGCAUGCCUAACACAUGCAAGUCGAACGAGACCUUCGGGUCUAGUGGCGCACGGGUGCGUAACGCGUGGGAACCUGCCCUUAGGUUCGGAAUAACUCCCCGAAAGGGGUGCUAAUACCGGAUAAUGUCUUCGGACCAAAGAUUUAUCGCCUUUGGAUGGGCCCGCGUUGGAUUAGCUAGUUGGUAGGGUAAAAGCCGACCAAGGCGACGAUCCAUAGCUGGUCUGAGAGGAUGAUCCGCCACACUGGGACUGGGACACGGCCCAGACGCCUACGGGAGGCAGCAGUGGGGAAUAUUGGACACUGGGCGAAAGCCUGAUCCAGCAAUGCCGCGUGAGUGAUGAAGGCCUUAGGGUUGUAAAGCUCUUUACCCGGGAUGAUAAUGACAGUACCGGGAGAAUAAGCUCCGGCUAACUCCGUG
rnacentral:rRNA from 1 species